rnacentral:rRNA from 1 species
GCAGUAGCCGCGGUAAUACGGAGGGUGCAAGCGUUAAUCGGAAUUACUGGGCGUGAAGCGCACGCAGGCGGUUUGUUAAGUCAGAUGUGAAAUCCCCGAGCUUAACUUGGGAACUGCAUUUGAAACUGGCAAGCCAGAGUCUUGUAGAGGGGGGUAGAAUUCCAGGUGUAGCGGUGAAAUGCGUAGAGAUCUGGAGGAAUACCGGUGGCGAAGGCGGCCCCCUGGACAAAGACUGACGCUCAGGUGCGAAAGCGUGGGGAGCAAACAGGAUUAGAUACCCCUGUAGUCCCUGUCUCUUAUAC